rnacentral:rRNA from 1 species
CAGGUCUUGACAUCCUCUGACAACCCUAGAGAUAGGGCUUUCCCCUUCGGGGGACAGAGUGACAGGUGGUGCAUGGUUGUCAUCAGCACGUGUCGUGAGAUGUUGGGUUAAGUCCCGCAACGAGUGCAACCCUUGAUCUUAGUUGCCAGCAUUCAGUUGGGCACUCUAAGAUGACUGCCGGUGACAAACCGGAGGAAGGUGGGGAUGACGUCAAAUCAUCAUGCCCCUUAUGACCUGGGCUACACACGUGCUACAAUGGACGGUACAAAGGGCAGCGAGACCGCGAGGUUUAGCCAAUCCCAUAAAACCGUUCUCAGUUCGGAUUGCAGGCUGCAACUCGCCUGCAUGAAGCUGGAAUCGCUAGUAAUCGCGGAUCAGCAUGCCGCGGUGAAUACGUUCCC